rnacentral:rRNA from 1 species
UGGGGAAUCUUGGACAAUGGGGGCAACCCUGAUCCAGCCAUGCCGCGUGAGUGACGAAGGCCUUCGGGUUGUAAAGCUCUUUCGCCCACGACGAUGAUGACGGUAGUGGGAGAAGAAGCCCCGGCUAACUCCGUGCCAGCAGCCGCGGUAAUACGGAGGGGGCUAGCGUUGUUCGGAAUUACUGGGCGUAAAGCGCACGUAGGCGGCGUGUUUAGUCAGGGGUGAAAGGCCCGGGCUCAACCCGGGAACGGCCUUUGAUACUGGCACGCUUGAGUCCGAGAGGGGGUGGUGGAACUCCCAGUGUAGAGGUGAAAUUCGUAGAUAUUGGGAAGAACACCGGUGGCGAAGGCGACCACCUGGCUCGGAACUGACGCUGAGGUGCGAAAGCGUGGGGAGCAAACA